UGCGUUGUUGUGUUGUACCAGUUCAUCCACUGUUGUGAUGUUGUGAUGACUGGACAGGUGAUUUGGAGGUAACCUCCGUGGCUUUCCAGCUUUGACUUUGUGUUUGGGUUGAUAGGUGAACUGAAACUGUCUCCAGGCGAGUCAGACACCAGACAUCUGUCCAAGCAGGGAAACAAACUCAAUCAGCCUGGCACCAAAAGCAGUAAGGAAAAACUCUUGCAGUGAAACCAGGACAAGCGACAAACAAGCAACGCCUGUGUCUUCUCCUGAUGACAUGACAUGGCUACAGUACUAUACAGCUGGGUCAGUCAGAUCACAUGUUCUUGCUUCCAGCACCAGCAAAUACCCCCUCAGGAAACAGGCUCUAACAAAAACAAUCACUGAUACAACCUGACCGGGGGUGUGUUCCAGAAAGCGGGUUAUGUGACAUACUGUACCCAGGUAAGUUUGAGGGUAAGUUAGUGAUUAACCUCAGCUUUUGGUUAACUUUAAGGUAACUUUCAGGGUAUGUUUGUAACCAUAGCAACUUACUCUCUGAACAUAAUCUGCUCCGGAGCAAGUUAUGUUUUGGGGUAAGUUCGUUUCGGAGGUUACUGAGCAGGGCGUGUCUGUUUGAUGACGGUUUGACUUAUUAUAUUUUUUUCCACCGUGAGAGGGUCAUAAAGCCACGUAUCAAUGUUUUUUUCUUUCCGUAUUACUUUAUUACUUUCCAUUUCAAAGUUUCCAAACGUGAUUGGGUGCAUCGAUGGCACCCAUAUUCCUAUUAAAGCUCCAUCAGCCAAUGGGGGAGACUAUGUUAAGAGGAAGACAUUUCACAAUAUCAAUGUGCAGGUAAUAUUUGAUGCAACCCAUCUCAUCACUAAUGUUGAAGCCAAAUGAUCAGGGUCAGUGCAUGAUUUCAGAAUCUUCAGGGAAUCAUCACUAUGUCACAUGUUUCAACAGGGACGCUACAAUGGCUUCUUGCCGGGGGACAGAGGGUUCCCUUGUCUGCCCUAUUUAGUUGUAAUG